UACGAAGGGAGCUAGCGUUGUUCGGAAUCACUGGGCGUAAAGCGCACGUAGGCGGAUUUGUCAGUCAGGGGUGAAAUCCCGGGGCUCAACCUCGGAACUGCCUUUGAUACAGCAAGUCUUGAGUUCGAGAGAGGUGGGUGGAAUUCCUAGUGUAGAGGUGAAAUUCGUAGAUAUUAGGAAGAACACCGGUGGCGAAGGCGGCCCACUGGCUCGAUACUGACGCUGAGGUGCGAAAAGCGUGGGGAGCAAACAGG
rnacentral:rRNA from 1 species